UACGUAGGGGGCGAGCGUUGUCCGGAGUUACUGGGCGUAAAGAGCUCGUAGGCGGCCAGUUGCGUCUGCUGUGAAAUCCCGGGGCUCAACCCCGGGCGUGCAGUGGAUACGGGCUGGCUAGAGGCAGGCAGGGGAGAACGGAAUUCCCGGUGUAGCGGUGAAAUGCGCAGAUAUCGGGAGGAACACCGGUGGCGAAGGCGGUUCUCUGGGCCUGUACUGACGCUGAGGAGCGAAAGCGUGGGGAGCGAACAGG
rnacentral:rRNA from 1 species